rnacentral:rRNA from 1 species
GUACCGUACGAACGUUAUUCGGAAUCACUGGGCUUAAAGGGUGCGUAGGCGGCACGGUCAGUUGGGUGUGAAAUCCCUCGGCUCAACCGAGGAACUGCGCCCAAUACUGCCGUACUCGAGGGAGACAGAGGUAAGCGGAACUGAUGGUGGAGCGGUGAAAUGCGUUGAUAUCAUCAGGAACACCUGUGGCGAAAGCGGCUUACUGGGUCUCUUCUGACGCUGAGGCACGAAAGCUAGGGGUAGCGAACGGGAUUAGAUACCCCGGUAGUCCUAGCUGUAAACGAUGAGCACUUGGUCGGAGGCUCCUCCAUAGGCUUCCGGUCGUAGCGAAAGUGUUAAGUGCUCCGCCUGGGAGUAUGGUCGCAAGGCUG